rnacentral:rRNA from 1 species
CAGUAGCCGCGUGAAUACAGAGGGUGCGAGCGUUAAUCGGAUUUACUGGGCGUAAAGCGUGCGUAGGCGGCUUCUUAAGUCGGAUGUGAAAUCCCUGAGCUUAACUUAGGAAUUGCAUUCGAUACUGGGAAGCUAGAGUAUGGGAGAGGAUGGUAGAAUUCCAGGUGUAGCGGUGAAAUGCGUAGAGAUCUGGAGGAAUACCGAUGGCGAAGGCAGCCAUCUGGCCUAAUACUGACGCUGAGGUACGAAAGCAUGGGGAGCAAACAGGAUUAGAUACCCGAGUAGUCCCUGUCUCUUAUAC